CGAUCUUGUUCGAACUUCUUUGACCUUCUUUGACCUUCUUCGAACUUCUUCUGCCUUCUUUGACCUUCUUUGACAUUAUUGAUUUUCUGUAACCUUCUUUGACCUUCUUUGACCUUCUUUCACCUUCUUUCACAUUCUUUCACCUUCUCUGACCCUCUUUCUGCCUUUUGACCUUCUUUGACCUUCUCUGACCCUCUCUACCGUCUUUUUGCCAUUUGACCCCUUUUGUGCUGAAUUGUUCAAGCUACAGGAGUUACAUACAUUCAAGACAUACAUAGUCAUUAGAUUUCCAAGAGGUAUUCAACAUAUUCACGUUUCCCAUAACUAAUUAAAAUAUGUAAAUGUCCCUGAUGCUUUUGCAAUUGUUUCUAAUGGUGGUCUUCCAGAUGUCUAUGGUUGUUGUUGAUAGUCUUCCUCACUAUGCUCUCUGCUUGAACCCACUUCUUGCAUAUGCUCAGAUCACCAUGUUCUUUCUUAUCAUGUUGUUUCAACUUAGGUAUAAAUACUAAGCUAAGUCAUUUACACAUCCAAGGACAUGGGCAUAAAAUGAGUUCCUAACCUAUUCUUUUCAGACUUAUCCUCCAGGCCUAGGUUUUAUUGCCCCCUGCCCUGGGAUACAAUUCUGUAUGGUCUUACAGCUACAGAAACACUGGUGCCAAGGUGUCUCAGAUGCUUACCAGAGAUAAGAAAAUAGGCUCCAGGAAAGUGGUAUUGCACCUGCCUUUGUCAUUUAUUAACCAGGUAUAUAGGCUGUAUAUUGUAUAUUGCCAACCAGCUGAUUAACAUUGGGAAUGCAAGCAGCAUGAAGGAAUUCAUUCUUCUCAAACUCUCAGAAAAUAAAGGAAUUCAGAAAAUAUGUUUUAUGUGUUUUUUUUUUUCUUCUGUAUGAUUAUCAUGCCAGGAAAUCUGCUCAUUGUUGUCGGUGUAGUGAGCAGUCAACAUCUGAAACUGCACGUGUAUUUCUUCCUUUCCUACCUGUACCUCGUAGAUAUUUGUUACACUUCUGUCACAGCUCCCAAAAUGAUUGCUGACUUCCUCAUUGAAAAUAAAAAACAGCCCAUUUGUGGGUUGCAUAGCACAGAUGUUCAGGGUACAUUUCUAUAGCUGCACUGAGAUCUUCAUCCUCACAGUGAUGGCCUAAGAUUGUUAUACUGACAACUGCAGACCCCCUAAUUAUGACCCUAACCCAACACCUACGUCACCAAAUUGUCCCAUCAAAAAGUGCUCACAACAAAAGACUUUUGGUAGACCUGAACUUCCUUGGACAGUCCUUACACAACCCCCACACACAUAACAGGACUCUGCACUGUCUUUCUAUCCAAACCCUAACAACCCUAACCCUAAGCCUAAUUAUGACUCUAAUGCAACACCUACGUCACCAAAUUCUCCCGAAACUAACAACAACCCUAACCCUAACCCUAUUUAUGACUCUCUAUAUAUCCAAGUAAAGGCAUAUAUUUGGAAGAAACCUGUGAAUUUAGGGUAUCUGAUAGAUAGAACUCUGUAAGCAGGCAGCUGUUAAUAUUCUCUGCUACUCAGUUUUUGUUCUUCUGGUAGUAAA